rnacentral:rRNA from 1 species
GACGGAGGGCGCGGGCGUAUUCGUUUUGAUUGGGUGUAAAGGGUACGUAGGCGGCUUACAGUUUUUUUUGGCAGAAAUAGCAGAGUGUUCCUCUGCGAUUGCCUUUGAUAACGUGAGCUUGUGUUGGGGAUAGGUAGAGGCAGGUUCUCAAGUAGGGGGUAAAAUCCGACCAUAUGAGAACGAACGUCAGCUGGCGAAGGCGCUUUUCCAGCCUCAACAGACGCUAAGGUACGGAAGCCUGGGGCGCAAACGGG